rnacentral:rRNA from 1 species
AUUGAACGCUGGCGGCAGGCCUAACACAUGCAAGUCGAGCGAGCGGCGGACGGGUGAGUAAUGUCUGGGAAACUGCCUGAUGGAUGGGGGUCACUACUGGAAACGGUAGCUAAUACCGCCUACCAUCAGCUGUGCCCAGGUGGGAUUAGCUAGUAGGUGAGGUAACGGCUCACCUAGGCGACGAUCCCUAGCUGGUCUGAGAGGAUGACCAGCCACACUGGAACGUAGACACGGUCCAGACUCCUACGCGAGGCAGCAGGGGGGAAUAGUGCACAAUGGGCGCAAGCCUGAUGCAGCCAGGCCGCGUGUGUGAAGAAGGCCUUCGGGGUGUAAAUCACUUUCAGCGGGGAGGCGUUACCCGCAGAAGAAGCACCGGCUAACUCCGUGCCAGCAGCCGCGGUAAUAC